CCUACGGGAGGCAGCAGUGAGGAAUAUUGGUCAAUGGACGCAAGUCUGAACCAGCCAUGCCGCGUGCAGGAAGACGGCUCUAUGAGUUGUAAACUGCUUUUGUACGAGGGUAAACGCAGAUACGCGUCUCUGUCUGAAAGUAUCGUACGAAUAAGGAUCGGCUAACUCCGUGCCAGCAGCCGCGGUAAUACGGAGGAUUCAAGCGUUAUCCGGAUUUAUUGGGUUUAAAGGGUGCGUAGGCGGUCGGAUAAGUUAGAGGUGAAAUCCCGAGGCUCAACUUCGGAAUUGCCUCUGAUACUGUUCGGCUUGAGAGUAGUUGCGGUAGGCGGAAUGUAUGGUGUAGCGGUGAAAUGCUUAGAGAUCAUACAGAACACCGAUUGCGAAGGCAGCUUACCAAGCUACUUCUGACGUUGAGGCACGAAAGCGUGGGGAGCAAACAGGAUUAGAUACCCGGAUAGUC
rnacentral:rRNA from 1 species